ACUGAACGCUGGCGGCAGGCCUAACACAUGCAAGUCGAGCGGAGCGGCGGACGGGGGAGUAAUGCCUAGGAAUCUGCCUGGUAGUGGGGGAUAACGUCCGGAAACGGGCGCUAAUACCGCAUACUAUCAGAUGAGCCUAGGUCGGAUUGGCUAGUAGGGGGGGUAAAGGCCUACCAAGGCGACGUUCCGUAACUGGUCAGAGAGGAUGAUCAGGCACCCUGGAACUGAGACACGGUCCAGACUCCUACGGGAGGCAGCGGUGGGGAAUAUUGGACAAUGGGCGAAAGCCUGAUCCAGCCAUGCCGCGUGUGUGAAGAAGGUCUUCGGAUUGUAAAGCACUUUAAGUUGGGAGGCGUUACCAACAGAAUAAGCACCGGCUAACUUCGUGCCAGCAGCCGCGGUAAUUC
rnacentral:rRNA from 1 species